CUGCCUUAUAUCUCACAGCUCAGUUUCGUGCCACAGUUAUCAGAACCUUCCGAGGAAAUCAGGUUCUUCGGGAAUCUGUUCUGUGCAGCAGCAGAGAGAGAACAGCAGACAGGAGAGAAGAUACUGGAGCUGUUAUCAUCAGUGUGCAGAUACAAAACAUUCCCUCUAAAACAACAAUGGUGUGAUUUCCUGCUGGACCUGUACUCUUAUGUGGCUGAAACAGGUCUGAGAGUCCUUCCAUCAUUACAGUCAGUUUUCCAGUCUGGUCCUGCAGUCUGGUCCAUAAACCUCUCAGAGAGAAAGACCUCCAUCCUCCUGGAAGUGCUGAAACUCCAAUCAGAGAAGAAAGAAGUGAUCUGACAGGCUGGUCACAUGAAGAGAGUGAAGUGAGGAGUUUCCUGCAGUGUCUGCCUUAUAUCUCACA